AUGAGAAAAGGCUUUACCACACUGAUUACAUUCAUAGGGUUUCUCUCCAGUAUGUGUCCUUUUAUGCAUUUGAAGAGCACUGUGAUGAGAAAAGGCUUUCCCACACUGAUUACAUUCAUAGGGUUUCUCUCCAGUAUGUAUGUUUUUAUGCAUUUGAAGAGUAGUGUGCUGAGAAAAGGCUUUACCACACUGAUUACAUUCAUAGGGUUUUUCUCCAGUAUGUAUUCUUUUAUGCAUUUGAAGAGCACUGUGAUGAGAAAAGGCUUUACUACAUUGAUUACAUUCGUGGGUUUUCUCCCCUCUAUGUCUUCUUUGAUGAAUAAGAAGAUAACUGUGAGAUGCAAAGGCUUUAACACGUUGGUUACAUUCAUAUGAUUUCUCUCCAGUGUGUUUUCUUUCAUAACUUUGGAGAGAACUGUUAUUUUCAAAGGCUUUAUC
rnacentral:lncRNA from 1 species